UGAAGUCCACAAGGCAUAAAGGGGACAUAGUUCCCCACCUCUGGUGUAGACCAACCUUUCAAAUUCCAAAAUGUCACUGUCCUACUUUAUGGCCCACAGCCAACACUGAAUAUGCAGAAGGUGUUAACUACAUGAUCCUUACAGUCUGGGAUCUUCCUGACAAGCAGCAGUUUUCAAUCAAAAAGCCAAGAAAGAAGUCAACUCUAGCCUUCAAGCCAAGAGACUAAGCCAGCAAUAUCUACUGAUGGUGGGAAAUGCUAAGCCAAGAACUUCUGGACACUCAAAAUAGCAAGUUCAUAAUGUCUUGCUGAAGCUGUGCCGGAGAAGACAGUCAAGCAGCCAUUCCUCCAUCUCUUGUGGAAAUCAUUCUAAAGGAAUUAAAAUUGAGUAAAGUGGAGGGGAAAGGAGUUGGAGGAAGAUGGGAAAUGUAUCUCCAGCUCCUUUUUUACAUGAAUCACAAUGCAUAUAAACAGAUCCAUUGCACAAUAUGAUACUCGUUGUGAUGAUCUACGGUAAAGCAGUAGACUCCCAAGAAAGAAGAAGAACAUUCCAAAGAGGGAGCUCAAGCAAGAGAGGAGCUGGAGGAGGAAGAGAGAGAGAGAAAAAAAAAGAAGUACAGCUUUGAAUAAGUUCACUUUCGACAGCAAAGAGUAAUGCCAACACCAACAUCAUUUCCAGAACAGAUGGAGUGACAUAUGCCAAACAUCCAUACCUGUCAUUUGAUUUCUUAGGACCAUACUUUUACAUUGACCAUUUCCAAAGAAAGAUUUAACCAUUCGGUUUCAAAGUCCGGCACUUCCUCAGAAUAAAGAGCAACAUACUUUUAAAAAAGUAAAUGGAAA